UUAGCAUAGUAGUUAGCAUAGUUAGCUUUCAGUUAGCCUGUAACAAGCUAGUUUGCGAUGCUAGCUAAUACCAUGCUUUGUUUUUAUCAGGUUUACAAAAGUCAAAGAGAAGACAGAAGGCACCGGUCAGAAGAAAGAAAGAAAAUAACGAUCUGUUUAUUGGAACAUCGCUAUUGCUCUGUUUAACUGGUGAAAACUAGAAAACUCCGGGUUAGCUGUUAGACUGAAUCCUGAUUUCUAUUGCCUGAAGACAGAGAGAUAACAACUGGGAACUCCUCUGCCUUCAAGAGCCUGUGGUGGAUCCAGCCUCUUCCUGGGUGGAGAGUCAGCAGCCAGCCUGCGAC